rnacentral:lncRNA from 1 species
CUGAAAGAUUUUGAUCAGAUGAAGAUCCUUGUGAUCGAACAGGAUUGUACAUGGCAAAAUAGGCAAAGAGAGAAUCGGGAGAAGUUUUGGAUAAAAACACUGGGUGUCCUCCAUCCAGACGGAAUCAAUAGAAAGAAAUAGUUAAAUUUACAGUCUAGUGUUUAAUAUAUUAUAUUCAGGAUUUUGGAUUAAAAUCAAUCGACCAA